rnacentral:lncRNA from 1 species
UGGGAUACGUAUUGUAAUCCGACUCAGAUCACCUUCUAUGUAACUACUGAGCAGAUUAGAUUCAAACCGACUUGUAACCCUAGGUCAUUAGCCUAUAUAAGGCGGUCAAGGGCACCCCCCUCCCCCAAGGGUAUCCCAUCUGAAUUAUCAAGUAAUACAAGCCACCAAGCAUACAAGACAUAGGGUAUUACUCUCCGGAGGCUUGAACCUGUCUAAAAUCCUCGUAUUCCUCAUGUUCUCACGAUCACCUUCGAGUUCUUAGUUUUACAAUCCCCUCCA